GCCUUGCUGCGGUAUACAGUGCAGGCCUGCACAUUUGUUCUGGAGCUUGCUCCCUGAUAGUUAGUCGGCGGAAGGGUGAGUAACACGUGGGUAACCUGCCUGUAAGACUGGGAUAACUCCGGGAAACCGGGGCUAAUACCGGAUAACUUUUUUCUUCGCAUGAAGGAGAAUUGAAAGAUGGCUCCGGCUAUCACUUACAGAUGGACCCGCGGCGCAAUAACUAGUUGGUGAGGUAACGGCUCACCAAGGCGACCAUUCGUAACCCACUUGAGAGGGUGAUCGGCCACACUGGGACUGAAACACGGCCCAAACUCCUACGGGAGGCAGCAGUAGGGAAUCUUCCGCAAUGGACGAAAGUCUGACGGAACAACGCCCCGUGAGUGAUGAAGGUUUUCGGAUCGUAAAACUCUGUUGUUAGGGAAAAACAAGUAUCGUUCGAAUAGGGCGGUACCUUGACGGUACCUAACCAAAAAGCCACGGCUAACUACGUGCCAGCAGCCGCGGUAAUACGUAGGUGGCAAGCGUUGUCCGGAAUUAUUGGGCGUAAAGCGCGCGCAGGCGGUUUCUUAAGUCUGAUGUGAAAGCCCACGGCUCAACCGUGGAGGGUCAUUGGAAACUGGGAGACUUGAGUGCAAAAAAAAAGAACGGAAUUCCACGUGUAGCGGUGAAAUGCGUAAAAAUGUGGAGGAACACCAGUGGCGAAGGCGGCUCUUUUGGUCUUGUAACCUGACGCCUGAAGCGCGAAAGCGUGGGGAACGAACAGAGAAUAGAUACCCUGUGUAGUCCACGCCGUAAACGAUGAGUUGCUAAGUGUUAGAAGGUUUCCCGCCCUUUAGUGCUGCAGCUAACGCAUUAAGCACUCCGCCUGGGGGAGUACGGCCCGCAAAGGCUGAAACUCAAAGGAAUUGACGGGGGCCCGCACAAGCGGUGGAGCAUGUGGUUUAAUUCGAAGCAACGCGAAGAACCUUACCAGGUCUUGACAUCCUCUUGACCUCCCUAGAAAAAUAAGGGAUUUCCCUUCGGGACCAAGAGUGACAGGUGGUUGCAUGGUUGUCGUCCAGCUCUGUCCGUGAAAUGUUGGGUUAAGUCCCGCAACGAGCGCAACCCUUGACCUUAGUUGCCAGCAUUCAGUUGGGCACUCUAAGGUGACUGCCGGUGACAAACCGGAGGAAGGUGGGGAUGACGUCAAAUCAUCAUGCCCCUUAUGACCUGGGCUACACACGUGCUACAAUGGAUGGUACAAAGGGUUGCUAGACCGCGAGGUUACGCCAAUCCCAUAAAACCAUUCUCAGUUCGGAUUGUAGGCUGCAACUCGCCUACAUGAAGCCGGAAUCGCUGUAAUCGCGGAUCCAGCAGCCGCCGAAAUCGCCCCCC
rnacentral:rRNA from 1 species